rnacentral:other from 1 species
GAGCGACUGCCAUGUUCGCAAGGGGAUGAUUAUUGGCUGAACCGAUAAGAGAACCUAGGGUUGCCCCGUUGAACCGCUGAACGACGUACCGACCCCAUUCGAGGUUGGCGGUCCGAGCGGCUCCGAGCGACCCCCGUUUAUAAGAGGGUUCUGUCCAAUGUCCCCAGCGGCAUUGCGGUGGUUGC